rnacentral:rRNA from 1 species
UACAGAGGGUGCAAGCGUUGCUCGGAAUUAUUGGGCGUAAAGGGUAGGUAGGUGGUAUCAUUUGUCUGGGGUGAAAGCCUUGAGCUUAACUCAAGAAGUGCCCCGGAAACGGUGAGACUGGAGUCUUGGAGAGGGUCGUGGAAUUCCCGGUGUAGCGGUGAAAUGCGUAGAGAUCGGGAGGAACACCAGAGGCGAAGGCGGCGACCUGGACAAGUACUGACACUCAACUACGAAAGCGUGGGGAGCAAACAGG